UCGUAGGUGACUGCGGAGAUCAUUACCGAGUGAGGGCCCUCUGGGUCCAACCUCCCACCCGUGUUUAUUUUACCUUGUUGCUUCGGCGGGCCCGCCUUAACUGGCCGCCGGGGGGCUUACGCCCCCGGGCCCGCGCCCGCCGAAGACACCCUCGAACUCUGUCUGAAGAUUGAAGUCUGAGUGAAAAUAUAAAUUAUUUAAAACUUUCAACAACGGAUCUCUUGGUUCCGGCAUCGAUGAAGAACGCAGCGAAAUGCGAUACGUAAUGUGAAUUGCAAAUUCAGUGAAUCAUCGAGUCUUUGAACGCACAUUGCGCCCCCUGGUAUUCCGGGGGGCAUGCCUGUCCGAGCGUCAUUGCUGCCCUCAAGCCCGGCUUGUGUGUUGGGCCCCGUCCCCCGAUCUCCGGGGGACGGGCCCGAAAGGCAGCGGCGGCACCGCGUCCGGUCCUCGAGCGUAUGGGGCUUUGUCACCCGCUCUGUAGGCCCGGCCGGCGCUUGCCGAUCAACCCAAAUUUUUAUCCAGGUUGACCUCGGAUCAGGUAGGGAUACCCGCUGAACUUAAGCAUAUCAAUA
rnacentral:rRNA from 1 species